rnacentral:rRNA from 1 species
GGCUCAGGAUGAACGCUAGCUACAGGCUUAACACAUGCAAGUCGAGGGGAAACGAUAUUGGAAGCUUGCUUCUGAUAGGCGUCGACCGGCGCACGGGUGAGUAACGCGUAUCCAACCUGCCCAUCACUUGGGGAUAACCUUGUGAAAGUAAGACUAAUACCCAAUGACGUCUCUAGAAGACAUCUGAAAGAGAUUAAAGAUUUAUCGGUGAUGGAUGGGGAUGCGUCUGAUUAGCUUGUUGGCGGGGUAACGGCCCACCAAGGCGACGAUCAGUAGGGGUUCUGAGAGGAAGGUCCCCCACAUUGGAACUGAGACACGGUCCAAACUCCUACGGGAGGCAGCAGUGAGGAAUAUUGGUCAAUGGACGAGAGUCUGAACCAGCCAAGUAGCGUGCAGGAUGACGGCCCUAUGGGUUGUAAACUGCUUUAUAAGGGAAUAAAGUGGGAGUCGUGACUCUUUUGCAUGUACCUUAUGAAUAAGGACCGGCUAAUUCCGUG